AGAGUUUGAUCCUGGCUCAGAUUGAACGCUGGCGGCAUGCCUUACACAUGCAAGUCGAACGGCAGCACGGGUGCUUGCACCUGGUGGCGAGUGGCGAACGGGUGAGUAAUACAUCGGAACAUGUCCUGUAGUGGGGGAUAGCCCGGCGAAAGCCGGAUUAAUACCGCAUACGAUCUACGGAUGAAAGCGGGGGACCUUCGGGCCUCGCGCUAUAGGGUUGGCCGAUGGCUGAUUAGCUAGUUGGUGGGGUAAAGGCCUACCAAGGCGACGAUCAGUAGCUGGUCUGAGAGGACGACCAGCCACACUGGGAUUGAGACACGGCCCAGACUCCUACGGGAGGCAGCAGUGGGGAAUUUUGGACAAUGGGCGAAAGCCUGAUCCAGCAAUGCCGCGUGUGUGAAGAAGGCCUUCGGGUUGUAAAGCACUUUUGUCCGGAAAGAAAUCCUUGGCUCUAAUACAGUCGGGGGAUGACGGUACCGGAAGAAUAAGCACCGGCUAACUACGUGCCAGCAGCCGCGGUAAUACGUAGGGUGCGAGCGUUAAUCGGAAUUACUGGGCGUAAAGCGUGCGCAGGCGGUUUGCUAAGACCGAUGUGAAAUCCCCGGGCUCAACCUGGGAACUGCAUUGGUGACUGGCAGGCUAGAGUAUGGCAGAGGGGGGUAGAAUUCCACGUGUAGCAGUGAAAUGCGUAGAGAUGUGGAGGAAUACCGAUGGCGAAGGCAGCCCCCUGGGCCAAUACUGACGCUCAUGCACGAAAGCGUGGGGAGCAAACAGGAUUAGAUACCCUGGUAGUCCACGCCCUAAACGA
rnacentral:rRNA from 1 species